AUAUGGAAGGAGCAACAAAACCCUGAGUCUGGGGCGUGCAUACCCAAUCUCUGUAACUGAAAGAAGUGAAUCUGUAAAAUUUGCAUCUCUCGAAUCCACCUUGUGUGACUGUCAUCGAUGUGAAUCUGUGAAAUUUGCAUCUCUCAAAUCCACCUUGUGUCUCCAUUAUCGUUGUUGUUUGUUUACAGCACUGUUUGCUAUUUUAUGUUUAAAUCGAGGAUAGAGGGAAAAUUAUGUGAAUUCUCUAAUAACA
rnacentral:lncRNA from 1 species